rnacentral:lncRNA from 1 species
UUUCUUAAGGAUUGAAAAAGGUGAAUCUAAAGUAUACAAAUGGGUCUGCUUAUACAGAGCAUGACCUCAGACAGAGACCAAACGGUCACAAAAAAGAAAGGAAACAAAAACUAAACAAGGAAACUGAUAAACUAGCCGUUAGGAGAAUUUCUUGGUUCCAAUGGCUUUUUUCAAGGGAUUUGAUUCUGGUUUUGUAUCUGGACGGUUUGAGGCUGUAAGUGAGCUUCUUGGGAACUUCUUUACUGAAGAAAUAUGUAUAGAAGUCGUGCCAAUCUUGAUGGUAAAAGAGCUGUUGAGAAUUGAUGGCUUUUGACUCCAAAAAUGGCAAGUAUGGUCUUGUUUGAUUCUGAAUAAUCUGAUGGAUGCUGGUGCAUUGUAAGAACGUCUCUGACUCUCCUGGACGUUUGGAUUGGUCUCCUGAAUGGUUAGAUAUCUCUCCUGGUCGCCAAUGUCUGGUUUGCAAUUGAUUGAACCGGCCAGCUUCCAAAUAAGGCAAGUGCAGAACUGGUUUGUCCGGUUUUGA